rnacentral:rRNA from 1 species
CGGGGACACGAAGACAGGUGUUGCAUGGUUGUCGUCAGCUCGUGUCGUGAGAUGUUAGGUUAAGUCCUGCAACGAGCGCAACCCUCGUGUACAGUUGCCAAUAUUAAGUUAGGAACUCUGUACAGACCGCCGUAGUUAAUACGGAGGAAGGUGGGGAUGACGUCAAAUCAUCACGGCCCUUACGUUUUGGGCUUCACCCGUGCUACAAUGGCUAUUACAAAGAGUCGCAAUAUCGUAAGAUGGAGCUAAUCUCACAAAGAUAGUCUCAGUUCAGAUUGUGGGCUGCAACCCGCCCACAUGAAGUCGGAGUUGCUAGUAAUCCCGAAUCAGCAUGUCGGGGUGAAUGCGUUCCCGGGUCUUGUACACACCGCCCGUCACGCCAUGGGAGUUGGGAGUGCCCAAAGUCAGUGUCCUAACCGCAAGGAGGGAGCUGCCUAAGGUAAUACCAAUGACUGGGGUGAAGUCGUAACAAGGUAGCCGUAUCGGAAGGUGCGGCUGGAUCACCUCCUU